UAGCACGAACAGGCUCCUUUGAUCCUUAAGAGACAAACAUGAAGCACUGAAGUUUUGUGGUAUCUGUGAAAGCAGAAUCUUUUGUAUAUUCUCUCUGCAUAUUAGAUGGAAUUACCUAAAUAUCUGCUAGCUGCCAUCUUUGUUGAACUGCUUAGAACAGCACUGUAACAUUUUUAUACCUUACCAUGUUACUUUCCUUUCAUUUGGAGAUAACAUCCUGUAGCUCCUUGCUGUGUCUCAACUCCUCUAAGAACACCAAGCUUUCCAUGACUCUGUGUGCAUGGCUAGACUAUUCCCAUACUGCAUGGCUCUAGCUAUGUGCAUAUACAGUAAAUAGCUUUUGAUUUGCUGUUAUUUUCCCCACCAUUGAUUUAGAUCCACGUAGGGAAUGCCUGCUCACACACAGGGAUUCUGAGCAAGGAUAGAGUCUAAGGACAAUUGUCAGAAUGAUUCACCCAAUACAUAAUUUAGCCAUAACUGUCCUUAAAAACAGCACAGAAGUGCCCUUGAGAAUAUGAUUUUGGAUGCCAGGAAGUUUCACAAGGACUUUUUACCUGUAGCAUCUUGCUCACUGAACCAGAAAAGGAAAAAGCAUAUCUGAAGCUCCAUCACAGCCUAACAGCAAUACCCAUCAGAAGAAUUGAGUACUCACCAUCUUCCUUUCCCUUUGCAAUGGCCCUUUCAGUUUCAGAGAAUUCAGAUUCUUCCACCUCCUUGUCCUUUGCUGCUGGUAGCAAUUCAGGCAACUUAACUUCUAAAGUGGUGUUUGAAGAGGAUGAAAUGAAGAACUAGAAGCACGUUGCUAUGAACUGGACUGUUUUCUUAUCUGAGGAAUAUUGUUAAUGGGAACAGGAAUGGAUUCCAUUUCAUAAGGCUGCACAUUAUUUGUUCCAGAGCCACCCACAAUGUUUAAGUGGAACGUCUUAAGAGUGUUCCACUUGUCUUAAGUCUUUAACUUCAGCAAGAUGAGCUACAGAAAAAUAGUGAAUGCUACAUUGGUGCAAAUGUUGCCAAUGGUUCUUACCCUUCAGCUGAUGAGGACACUGAAGGUUGCAUAAGCUGACCAGCAUUGCUUUCCAGAUGCUCUUGAGAUGCAAUUGGAGUUUCAGUUGUGGACAGCACUUUUGCCUCAUCUGUUAAUAAUGAAGAGGCAAUUAUCUUCUAUGUAUUAACUAUCAGGUAUUGUUGCCAAUAUCAUAAAAACAAUUUAAGUGUAAUAAAACAUAAUGAUGGCAUGUA